rnacentral:rRNA from 1 species
ACAAGCGGUGGAGCAUGUGGUUUAAUUCGAAGAUACGCGAAAAACCUUACCAGGUCUUGACAUACCAAUGAUCGCUUUUGUAAUGAAAGCUUUUCUUCGGAACAUUGGAUACAGGUGGUGCAUGGUCGUCGUCAGCUCGUGUCGUGAGAUGUUGGGUUAAGUCCCGCAACGAGCGCAACCCUUGUUAUUAGUUGCCAGCAUUUAGUUGGGCACUCUAAUGAGACUGCCGGUGAUAAACCGGAGGAAGGUGGGGACGACGUCAGAUCAUCAUGCCCCUUAUGACCUGGGCAACGCACGUGCUACAAUGGGAAGUACAACGAGUCGCAAACCGGCGACGGUAAGCUAAUCUCUUAAAACUUCUCUCAGUUCGGACUGGAGUCUGCAACUCGACUCCACGAAGGCGGAAUCGCUAGUAAUCGCGAAUCAGCAUGUCGCGGUGAAUACGUUCCCGGGUCUUGUACACACCGCCCGUCAAAUCAUGGGAGUCGGAAGUACCCAAAGUCGCUUGGCUAACUUUUAGAGGCCGGUGCCUAAGGUAAAAUCGAUGACUGGGAUUAAGUCGUAACAAGGUAGCCGUAGGAGAACCUGCGGCUGGAUCACCUCCUUUCUAAGGA